UGCCGGGGUAUGUUCCCUCGUAUUUCGUGAGCAGUCCCAUGGCUCCAUAAAGCCAGUUCUCUGCUCAGCAGGGGCUCCCAGCCCCCGGUGUGAUUCAACAAUGUGAAACAAUGGUACCCUGCCUCCUUGUCCACACUCCAGAACCGAGAGCUGGGAUUAUCGCUUCACCAAUAACUGGAUGAGAUACCGUUGAAACUAAGAGAAAUGAAGGAACAAAGGGUGAGAGACGAGGGUGUUGGUGUGUGUUGCUUGUGUUGCCUACGCUGAGGAGGAGCAGACUACAGCAGACUACAGCAGGGAACAGUAGACUACAGCAGGAAGCAGCAGGAAAUAGCAGAUUACAGCAGGGAUUACCAGAUUAAAGUAGGGUACAGAAGACUACAGCAGGAAACAGCAGACUACAGCAGACUACAGCAGGAAGCAGCAACUACUACUAGAGGAAACAGUAGACUACAGAAGGAAGCAGCAACAACUACUAGAGGAAACAGUAGACAACAGCAGGAACAGAAAACUACUUCAGGAAACAACAGAGUACAGCAACAUAACAGUAAAUAAUAUUAGACAGCGGUAGAGAACAGCACAGUACUUGAUAACAGCCUCGAACAAUACCAAACAGAUGCA